rnacentral:tRNA from 1 species
GCUACCGUGGUGGAACGCAUACACGUUCGCCUUAAGAGCGAAUGCCAGCGAUGGAUUGCGGGCUCACAUCCCGCCGGUAGCACCA